UUUCCCGUUUUCUCUCGUCUCUCUCUUUCUCUCCUUCCCUCUUCUCUCAUCUCUCUCCUCAAACCCUAAAAAUGUCUGGAAAAAAACCACAGACUCUCAUUCCCGCCGUCAGAAACCCAUCGCGUCGGGACUAACCCCCCCCCCCCCCCCCCCCCCCCCCCGCUGCUUCACUCAUCCACAACUAAGCUAAAUCUUCCAUGAAAAUGCUGCUUUCAUUCAUCCACAACAACUAAGUUGAAUCUUCCAUGAAAAUGAUGUUUGAAUCUAAUAAGUUUCUUUAAGUUGUUUCACUUCUAUGAAUAAGUUGUUUUAUUAUAUAACUUAUGUGAAUAAGUUCUUUUUUUCUCAAAUAACAAAUAAGCUACUUUUUAGAGGGUUGCAGAGGCGAGUUUGGUGGUCGGAUUUGUAGAGUGGAAGCCAGAAUCGGUUCAGUGAUGAGCGGCGGUCGGAAGAACGUACAGUGAACCGAUGAAGCUGUUUGAGCUGCCUCAUGAGCAUCCCACUUGUCUCUUGUGUAAGCCUUCACUUCAACUGCUCUGCAGAAAGGAGGACUCUCAACUGGAGAUGUGGCAGCACUGUACAGGUAUAAGAACACCCUUAUAGAUGUCAAACUUGACACAUCAUCAACUGUGGGUUUCUUUGUCUUUUUAGAUUAUAAUAUCUUAUUUGUUUCUAUCUUUACCGGAUCAACACAAUCCUCACAUUCACCGACCUUUUUCCAUCCACAAAGACCAAAGUCGAAUCAUCUACAACAAUAAUCAUUGGCGACAAGGGUGACGACAUUAAAGUAUCGUACCUCCACCAUCUAACAAUGUUGUUGUUGUGGAUAUUACAAGAAAGUUCUCAGCAAAUCAGAAUACUAUUACGGUUGGCGGGUCUUUUGCUAUUAACCCUCUGACACAGGCCAAAGUAACGUUCAACAAUUAUGGAAAGCUUGGGGGAUUGCUACAACAUGAGAUUUUCCCCAAGUCAGUGUUGACUAUUUUUGGUGAGGUUGAUCCCAAGCUUGGUUUGGCCAUUGAUCUCAAACCUUGAAGUUUUCCUUCAUUUUUGAAACAUGUGAUUGAAGCCAAAACUCUAUUCAAUUUUUUUGGUGGCCGUUGAAGGGAGGGAAGAAUAAUAAGUUCCAUAGAUGAGCAUUUCUAGGAUCUUUCUGAACGGAUGAAUCAUCUCAAUAACUUGAAUCCAGCUGUGCAAAACAUUCACAUCCAUGUAUACUUCUAUGUCAAGUUUUGUAAAAUGAUACAUGCCAUAUUGUACUUUGCAUUACUCAUAUUUUUCUAAUUUUACUUACUGUUAAAAGAGUUUUCAAUAUUAUAACAAACCAACUAUGUAAAUGAUGUGUACUUCCUGCAUUUAUCAGUUUUGAAUCCAACUUCACAACCUUCAAUGAAA